GACGAACGCUGGCGGCGUGCCUAAUACAUGCAAGUCGAACGCAGUGGGGACGGGUGAGUAACACGUGGGUAACCUCCCAUCAGAGGGGAUAACACUUGGAAACAGGUGCUAAAACGAUACUGCUGGAUGGACCCUCGGUGCAUUAGCUAGUGGGUGGGGUGCCGGCUCACCAAGGCCACGAUGCAUAGCCGACCUGAGAGGGUGAUAGGGUACACCAGAACGGAGACCCGGCCCAGACUCGUACGGGAGGGAACAGUAGGGAAUGUGCGGCAAUGGAAGAAAGUCUGACCGAGCAACGCCGCGUGAGUGGAGAAGGUUUGCGGAUCGGAGAACUCUGUUGUUAUAGAAGCGGUAUCUAACAAGAAAGCCACGGCUAACUACGUGCCAGCAGCCGCGGUAAUUC
rnacentral:rRNA from 1 species